rnacentral:lncRNA from 1 species
UGUUGGUGGGCGGCGAGGGAGAGGGAGGCCUAAGAAGCAUUGGGGAGAGGUGAUUAGGCAGGACAUGGCCAGAAUGCAGGUUACCGAGGGCAUGACUCUGGAUAGGGGAGUCUGGAGGUCUAGAAUCAAGGUUGUAGGUUAGGGGCUCAUAGGUGAUUAGUGUUUUAGUAUGGUACUUCCUGCUUGAUAUUACUUCAUGCGACUGUAUUUAUGUUGCUUAUAUUUUCAUAACUAUUUACGUUACUUUUGUGGGAGUACCUAUGCUUUAUUAUUUAUUUUUGUCUUGCUUGUGUUUCUAAUUUUAUCUCUGUUUCUUAAUGCAGCUUUCCCAUUUUUACCCUACUCGCCGAGGGUCGAUUGGAAGCAGCCUCUCUGCCCUUUAGGGCAGGGGUAAGGCUCGUCUACAUAUUACCCUCCCCAGACUCCACCUGGUGGGAAUAUACUGGG